rnacentral:rRNA from 1 species
CGGAACGUGUCCUGUUGUGGGGGGAGUAACUGAUCGAAAGAUCAGCUAAUACCGCAUGAGACCUGAGGGUGAAAGCGGGGGAGUCGCAAGACCUCGCGCGACAGGAGCGGCCGAUGUCUGAUUAGCUAGUUGGUGAGAUAAAAGCUUACCAAGGCGACGAUCAGUAGCUGGUCUGAGAGGAUGAUCAGCCACAUUGGGACUGAGACACGGCCCAGACUCCUACGGGAGGCAGCAUG